AUGGAGCGGCUCAUCUCCAGGACGGCGGUCUCCCCGGCCCAGCCCCGGAUCCACCUACCCGGCAGAUCCCCCUUCCUCCCCACCCGCCGCGCCGCCCCCGCCUCCGCGGGUGCUGGGAGCGCCGCGCCAUGGACCCGGCUGUGCGCGCAGCCGCCGCGUCUCGGUGCCGCGGUCUGCGCCGCGGUGCGGCAUGACGGUGCUUCUGCCCCGGCACCCGUCGAGGAGGUGGUGGCGGCGGCGGCGGCGGCGGCUGGGCCUCCGUUGAAGCUGCUCGGGAGCCUGCUCCCCAAGGCUUCUACUGCUGCCCUUGUCCUGCUUAUGACACUUACUGCAAGUGCCUUGCACUCUAGCAUUCCCCAUCCUGCCUAUGCAUCGGUGCAACCAGUAAUCAAAUCUGGUGGACUCCUCUCAACAGAGUUAUUGAGCAGUGGCUGGGCUGGUUUCUUCGCGGGCUGCUUACAUACCUUAUCUGGGCCUGACCAUCUUGUUGCAUUGGCACCACUAUCAAUUGGGAGAUCAAGACUGGAGAGUGGACUAGUUGGUGCCCUUUGGGGCUGUGGCCAUGAUGCUGGACAAAUAAUUUUUGGCCUGCUCUUCUUGUUACUCAAGGAUCGUUUGCACAUUGAGGUUCUCCGUAUAUGGGGAACAAGAGUUGUAGGUCUGACCCUUCUUUUGAUUGGCGCGACUGGCAUCCGGGAAGCUUCGGAGGUCCAAGAGUCAGGGCUAAUUCUGGAGGGUGUAGACAUGAGUGGCAGUGAGCCCUUGCAACAGGCCCCUGCUGUUGCUCCCAGGAAGAAGAAAGUUGGCUUCACAACAUUUGCCACCGGAGUCGUCCAUGGCCUCCAGCCAGAUGCGCUGCUGAUGGUCUUGCCUGCUCUUGCUCUGCCAUCACGCUUUGCAGGCGCGGCCUACCUCGGUAUGUUCUUGGUCGGGACUGUAUUUUCGAUGGGUAGCUACACUGCUUUUGUAGGUUCUUGUAGUGAGGCUCUAAAGGAUAGGAUACCUAAGAUAACGGAGAAGCUGACCUGGGCUGCUUCCCUUGUAGCUGUAUGCAUGGGGUUAGCUCUUCUAGUUGGGCAGUUCUUUGGGUUCACCCUAUAUUGA
rnacentral:rRNA from 1 species